rnacentral:tRNA from 1 species
GCCAAGAUUGCCAAGUUGGUCAAGGCGCGUGUCUGAAGAACACGUUAUCCGGGUUCGAUUCCUGGUCUUGGCA